GCAAGUCGAACGCGAAAGCCCUUCGGGGUGAGUAGAGUGGCGGACGGGUGAGUAACGCGUAGGAAUCUACCCAUGUAGUGGGGGACAACUCGGGGAAACCCGAGCUAAUACCGCAUACGCCCUACGGGGGAAAGGGGGCCUCUUCUUGAAAGCUCCCGCUAUUGGAUGAGCCUGCGUCGGAUUAGCUAGUUGGUGGGGUAAAGGCCUACCAAGGCGACGAUCCGUAGCUGGUCUGAGAGGACGAUC
rnacentral:rRNA from 1 species